rnacentral:piRNA from 1 species
UACUUAGAACGCCUCCUAGGAGAUGGUGGA